rnacentral:rRNA from 1 species
UGAAUUCAUAGGGUGUGUGGAGGGAACGCGGGGAAGUGAAACAUCUCAGUACCCGCAGGAAGAGAAAACAAUAGUGAUUCCGUCAGUAGCGGCGAGCGAACGCGGAGGAGGCUAAACCGCAUGCGUGUGAUACCCGGCAGGGGUUGCGUGUGUGGUGUUGUGGGGCGCGAAUUUCUUUGGUUCUGCCGGACCGGGCGCUGAGUGUCCGCGGGUUAGGGGAACGACUUGGAAGGGUCGGCCGUAGAGGGUGAGAGUCCCGUACCUGAAAGCCUUGUGGCCCAGUGGUUGUGUACCCAAGUAGCAGCGGGCCCGUGAAUCUGCUGUGAAUCUGCCGGGACCACCCGGUAAGCCUGAAUACUCCUUGGUGACCGAUAGCGGAUUAGUACCGUGAGGGAAUGGUGAAAAGUACCCCGGGAGGGGAGUGAAAUAGUACCUGAAACCGUGUGCUUACAAACCGUCAGAGGCUUUCGGGCUGAUGGCGUGCCUUUUGAAGAAUGAGCCUGCGAGUUAGUGGCAUGUCGCGAGGUUAACCCGUGUGGGGAAGCCGUAGCGA